CUCCCUCAGGUUUUCUCAGGCCAGGAGAGAAUUUCAGAUUAGAACAUCUGGAGUUUCAUGUUGAAACGUCAUCAUUCUCCCACCGAGACCCGAGUGAAACCAUUAGGCCAAUGAAGACAGAAGAGCAAGUUUGACUGCGCCGACACACGCAGCGUUCCGUUUGAGAAAACAGCCUGUGCCGCUGAUAUGUGUGCCAACUCUAGCGCUGCUGAGGAAUGUGCCGUGUGUCUAUAUGAUAGAAUGCUGGGUAAAUAUAGCUGUCGUUUUCAUACGGGUCUGUUUCUGCACCAUUGUUUUCGCUGACAGAAUGAAAACACAAGGCCCAAACAGACGCAGAAGAAUAAGCUCAUACAGACAUAACCUGCCCAGCCUGGAGGGCAGGAGACACACAGAGAGAGAGAGAGAGAAAGAGACACGGCGAGGGCAGGAGAGCAGAUCAGGCCCUCGUUCACCGUCCACCCUUUAAACACCAGCUGGUGGACCUGAACCCCGGUGGAGGCCUCGAUCCCUUACAAAUGUUUGGAUUACAGGAAUGACCCGCUGAAGGAGUGUUUCACUGUUAAGUGGGACAUUAUUCUUGUGGGCUACUCUCAGGCAGAAAGCAAAUUCUAUACCUGUUUUGGCAUAAAGGUUUCAGUGUACAUGUACAGUACGUGUCAACAAAGAGCUCCUUGUAUUCGAAGUGAACUCGCACACACUUUCAAGAAAAGAAAAGAUGAAAAGGGGGGAAAAAGACCAACAUUGCCUAGAUGGAGUCAGUCAAUGGAGCCGUCAAGUUAUCAGUUAACUCCAGUGGCAUGUAGUCAGCAGAGCAGAGCAGGAGAAAAAGAAGCGGAGGAGAGGGAAGAAAGGAGUGGAGGGGAGGGCUGAAACAGGACACUGGUUUAGGGUGCGACGGUUGAGUUGAGCUCUUAUCAGCACUUCUCUCUCAAUUACACCGCUAACGCUACUCUCUCGCUCUCUUUAUUUCAAUCUCUCCAUUAUUCCACUUAUCUGUGUUGCUUUCUUACCUAGUGCCUUUGCAAAAGGGCAAAUUACGUGAAAGGCGAGACAGCAUUUGAACAGAUCCCAAACUGUGAGCUCAAUGAGAGGGGUGUGUGUGUGUGUGUGUGUGUGUGUGUGUGUGUGUGUCAUUGAGAGAGUCACUGAAAGUAAAAAACAUCACACAUUGAUAUUUUCAGAAUCUAUUGUACAAAUUUUCCUCUGACAACCUAAAUGAAUCCAAAAUAGCAGAAGCUUGUUUUUUUUUUUUAAACUGCUGUAAUAAAAAUAAAAUUUAGAAGUUUUAAGUGUAGAAUAUUUGUAUUUUUUUGGAAAUUAUAAAUAGCAAAUAAAAUACACAAAGUUUGAAGUCUGUAUCAGUUUUUAUAUUCAAUUGAAAAAUGCUCAAAAGCAGUCAUCAAAAAUACAGUAAUAUUUAAUUUUUAUUAAAAAU